ensembl:lncRNA
UUUAUCACAAGUUGUAAUUGUAAGAAUUCAGUUGGCUAGGCAUAGGAGGGAAGUCCGUUUAUCAGCUCCUGUAGCUAAUGAUAUGCUGGAAGGGCUCCGAAUAUUUGUAGUUAACACAGAACAGCACGGUGAUAUCAGUGCAGACAUGGAAUGCGGGGAACAAGCAGGUGGCAAAAUAUAUUUUCAUCUGUUGGGUUCAAGUGGAAAUUUUGAAGAAUAUAUCAGAAGUCAUGUUUGAAUCAGAGGCUAAUAUGAGAUCAAGCAGGUAACAUCAUUCUGUACAUCUUCUACUGCCUGACUUCAGAAGCUGACCACAUGUUCUUAUGAGUAAGCAAAAGUGACUUGGACUGAUUCUUCUUAAGCAGAGAAUGAAAGGAGAAGGCAUCUAUCAUGUCAAUGACCCAUGAAGUAAGAAGAAAUUAUAUAGUCUACCAUAAAGACACUGAAGGAGUCAUUAUAGCCUAUUAGAAAAAGUGACAUUCAGUACCCUACCUAGGAGCUGUAACAGCAACAGAGGCAUUGUCUAAAGAUGAAGUUAUAAAUGCUGCUACAGAAACAUCCUGGAGUCCUUUUUGCCCUGUGCAAGGGUAAUAUCAAGAAUCUUUCAACAGAAGAAAGAGGAUGGAUUAAAUUUUAAGACAAAUUUUCAAUUAUUUAUGAAACUGCAUUAUGAAACCAAGUUUUUAACCUGACCCGGUCCUGCAGAUAUACCCUUAUACCCUUCGUUAAAGGAAGAGACUUGGUCAGUAAUUGCUAUGAUAGGAGGAAAUUGAAUCACACUGAUAAAUGUUACCAGGAUCUGUUCCAUUUAAUUCCAUACCACUGCAAACAGAUGAUGGAUUUCCUAAUAAUGUCCUUCACUACUACUUCAGAGAAAUAACUAAUUUAAUCUGCCACUAGAUGUCAUUCCUUUUUCAUGCAAACAUGAAAAAUGUAAAUUUCCACCCCAAAAAAACCCAGUUAAAAAUGUAAGAUUUAAAAUGAAAGAAUCCAUUUGAUGUAUACAUACAUACAAAAAAACCUUUUUAUUCAUUAUUUUCCGUGUAUGAGCAGAGUGUUGUAAGCUUACUGAUGACUUUCAACAGAUCCAUCUGUAUUUAAAAGAUGUGAAAUGUUUUCAUAUACCCAAGCAGAAUGUGGUUUCAUUGUUUGGAUAACUAGUGAUUUGUGGUAUUGGUCCAUUCCAAUAGUAUUGGAGGUUCAACUAAAUCUCUUCUUGUAUUCAUUCAGGCCCAAAGAACUACUUUUCCUUGGUGGAUGUCAUCUGUCUGCUCAGAACUGGUUUCCUUGCUGCCUUUUCUCACAGCCCUUCUGAUUGUUUUGGGUUUUUCUUCAUGGCUACCUAAACUUUACAAAGCAACAGCCAAUGAAAUUCUUCAAUUUUGGUGGGCCAAGUGAAGCCAUUUCUUUCUGAUUUUUUUCCCCCCAAGAAGAUUUCUGAAAGAUCUGAAUAGUCUAUAGAAAAGUCUUUGUUACAUAGUCUUUGCUAUCAAAGUCUUUGAUACCCAUAAAUUCACAUUGCAAAAUAUAUAUAUAUAUAUAUUUUGGGGAAAAAAAGAUUUUCACAACAUUAGUUUUAUUUCUUUACUUAGCUAUUAUUAAAUAAUACUAAAGCACAAUACAAUAAUAAUAGAAAAAGGAAAGAUUUCUUAUCUGUGUUGAUGACUGGAUAGCCUUUAGCAAAUGUUUCACUGCUCUAGUCACAGCCUUUCAUUAAGGGUUCUGGGCAAAGAUACAAUACUAAUUUUUCAAGUAUGCUCUGCAAUCAUUUAAAUAUCAUUAAAUGUAAUAAAAAUGUAAACAAUGAAGCAUGACAAUCUAAACCCUUUAUUUUCUGUAUUCUAUGAUCACAGCAAGGGAGAUGACUUUCUGGUGCUCUAUGGAAAGUAGCACGCAUUUACAGUGUGAAAUAUAGACAUUGUUUUAAUAUGUGCUGACAUUUUUUGAACUUUCAUAUUCUUUUGGACCACAAAAAUUCACUGUGAUACCAUUCUAUUCAAAUAAUAAGAUGCCAUGUGGUUGGGAUAUUAAUUACAUAGCACUUCUCUUUGAUAUCAAAUAUUGAUAAGCUUCCUUUAAAGUCCACAACAUCUUUAUUUUAAUCCAUUUAUUAGGCAGCAGAUCUUAUUGUUGGAAAGAGUGUAUCUCUGACAUAUUUGUAUAACGGAUUGUUAGAAAUUCCUUCUUUGUUUGCAG